CCUACGGGAGGCAGCAGUGGGGAAUAUUGGACAAUGGGUGAAAGCCUGAUCCAGCCAUGCCGCGUGUGUGAAGAAGGCCUUCGGGUUGUAAAGCACUUUCAGUGGGGAAGAAAGCCUUGGGGCUAAUACCCUCGAGGAAGGACAUCACCCACAGAAGAAGCACCGGCUAACUCCGUGCCAGCAGCCGCGGUAAUACGGAGGGUGCGAGCGUUAAUCGGAAUUACUGGGCGUAAAGCGCGCGUAGGCGGUCUGAUAAGCCGGUUGUGAAAGCCCCGGGCUCAACCUGGGAACGGCAUCCGGAACUGUCAGGCUAGAGUGCAGGAGAGGAAGGUAGAAUUCCCGGUGUAGCGGUGAAAUGCGUAGAGAUCGGGAGGAAUACCAGUGGCGAAGGCGGCCUUCUGGACUGACACUGACGCUGAGGUGCGAAAGCGUGGGUAGCAAACAGGAUUAGAUACCCUUGUAGUC
rnacentral:rRNA from 1 species